CGAGGAGAACGCGGGGACCAAACUCUUGCUGCAGGGUUUCGAGCGCCGCUUCCUGGCGGCGCGCACACUGCACUCCUUCCCCUGGCAGGUGGGCGGCGGGGCGAGCGGAGAGGCCCGCGGGGCGAGCAGAGAGGCCCGCGGGGCUCGCGGGAGUCCAGGGGCAGACGGGAUGGGUCUCCGUGCUGAAACCCCCGGCGCUCCGGCCACAGCUUAGAGGCAAAGUUAAGAGACUCAUCAGAUUCUGAGCUGCUGCGGGAUAUUUUGCAGAAGACUGUGAGGCAUCCUGUGUGUGAAGCACCCGCCGUCAGUCAAGUAUGCCCGGUGCUUUCUCUCAGAACUCAUCAAAAAGGUCAGUAAUGGGCAGUGUCCACCCAGUAGCCGGACAGCAUAGCCACCUGCGUGCUGGAGCCCCCAUCCUUCCCAGGCCCUGGGCCUGCUUUGCAAACCCCAGCAUGGCAGGGGCCUCCCCAGGCAACUGGCUGCAGCUGAGUGUGACCCAUGGGAGACAGUGCAGGGCGGGAAGAAGGGGAGGCCAGCAUCUCUCCCUCACUCUGCCUCCUGGGGUUUCCACAGCAGCUGCUUCUCUGGGGCCCCAUCUCCUAGCAUAUGGAUUCUCAUUCCUACCAGGCUGGUCCAGCCCACAGCACUGGAACCCUCAC
rnacentral:lncRNA from 1 species